rnacentral:rRNA from 1 species
UACGGAGGGUGCGACCGUUAAUCGGAAUCACUGGGCGUAAAGCGCGCGUAGGCGGUUCGUUAAGUGGGAUGUGAAAUCCCCGGGCUUAACCUGGGAAUUGCAUUUCAAACUGGCCGACUAGAGUACGGUAGAGGGAGGUAGAAUUUCCUGUGUAGCGGUGAAAUGCGUAGAUAUAGGAAGGAAUACCAGUGGCGAAGGCGGCCUCCUGGACCGGCAUUGACGCUGAGGCGCGAAAGCCAGGGGAGCAAACGGG